GAUGAAGAACGUAGUGAAAUGCGAUAAGUAGUGUGAAUUGCAGAAUUCAGUGAAUCAUCGAAUCUUUGAACGCACAUUGCGCCCUUUGGUAUUCCAAAGGGCAUGCCUGUUCGAGCGUCAUUUGUACCCUCAAGCUUUGCUUGGUGUUGGGCGUCUUGUCUCUAGCUUUGCUGGAGACUCGCCUUAAAGUAAUUGGCAGCCGGCCUACUGUUUCGGAGCGCAGCACAAGUCGCACUCUCUAUCAGCAAAGGUCUAGCAUCCAUUAAGCCUUUUUUUCAACUUUUGACCUCGGAUCAGGUAGGGAUACCCGCUGAACUUAAGCAUAUCAAUAAGCGGAGGA
rnacentral:misc_RNA from 1 species